GAGCUUGCUCCCUGAGAUUAGCGGCGGACGGGUGAGUAACACGUGGGCAACCUGCCUAUAAGACUGGGAUAACUUCGGGAAACCGGAGCUAAUACCGGAUACGUUCUUUUCUCGCAUGAGAGAAGAUGGAAAGACGGUUUCGGCUGUCACUUAUAGAUGGGCCCGCGGCGCAUUAGCUAGUUGGUGAGGGAAUGGCUCACCAAGGCGACGAUGCGUAGCCCACCUGAGAGGGUGAUCGGCCACACUGGGACUGAGACACGCCCAAACUCCUACGGGAGGCAGCAGUAGGGAAUCUUCCGCAAUGGACGAAAGUCUGACGGAACAACGCCGCGUGAACGAAAAAGCCUUCGGGUCGUAAAGUUCUGUUGUUAGGGAGAACAAGUACCAGAGUAACUGCUGGUACCUUGACGGUACCUAACCAAAAGCCACGGCUAACUACGUGCCACCAGCCCGGUAUACGUAGGUGGCAAGCGUUGUCCGGAAUUUUGGGCGUAAACCCCCCCAGGGGUUCCUUAAGCUGAAGUGAAACCCCCGGCUCACCCUGGAGGGCAUUGGAACUGGGGAACUUGAUGCAAAAAAGAAAGGGGAAUUCCAGGGUACCGGGAAAUGCUAAAAAUUUGAGGAAACCCAUGGGGAAGG
rnacentral:rRNA from 1 species